AUCAUAUCUGCUGUUGAUGACGUUUUUUUGUCCAACAGGAUGAAAGUUUCUUUCACCAAUGGGAUCCAAGCAGUGCAACACCAAUGAAAGAAGUGUGUUGAUUGUGAAAGCGGACUAUGUUGAAAAAUAAAUCUCAUUUGGUCACAUUCCAUGAGAGGAUCUUGGUCAGUUUAUGAAUUUUGCAGCUGACCCUCAUAAACAACUCAGAAACCUUAUUAUUACAUUCA